rnacentral:rRNA from 1 species
UUAGGAAUCUUCCACAAUGGGCGAAAGCCCGAUGCAGCAACGCCGCGUGGGCGAUGAAGGCCUUCGGGUCGUAAAGCCCUUUUUGAGGGGAUGAGGAAGGACAGUACCCUCAGAAUAAGCCUCGGCUAACUACGUGCCAGCAGCCGCGGUAAAACGUAGGAGGCGAGCGUUAUCCGGAUUUACUGGGCGCAAAGCGCGUGCAGGCGGAUUGGAGAGUUGGAUGUGAAAGCGUGCGGCUCAACCGUACCAAGCCAUGAAAACUGGCGAACUUGAGUGCAAACGAGGUAGGCGGAAUGUGAUGUGUAGCGGUGAAAUGCUUAGAUAUGUCACAGAACCCCGAUUGCGAAGGCAGCUUACCAGCAUGCAACUGACACUGAGGCACGAAAGCGUGGGUAUCAAACA